rnacentral:rRNA from 1 species
AGGACGAACGCUUGCGACGUGCCUAAGAAAUGCAAGUCGAACGGACAGUAGCAAUACUGUUAGUGGCGAACGGUCGCGUAACACGUGGGCAACCUGCCCCGAAGCGGGGGACAACAAUCCGAAAGGAUUGCUAAUACCGCAUGUGAAUCGUGGUGGCAUCACCAAGGAUUCAAAGCCGCAAGGCACUUCGGGAUGGGCCCGCGGCCUAUCAGCUAGUUGGAGAGGUAACGGCUCACCAAGGCUUCGACGGGUAGCUGGUCUGAGAGGACGGCCAGCCGGAUUGGGACUGAGAUACGGCCCAGACUCCUACGGGGGCAGCAAUUAGGAAUCUUGCGCAAUGGGCGAAAGCCUGACGCAGCGACGUCGCGUGAAGGAUGAAAUCUUUCGGGAUGUAAACUUCUUUACCAGGAGAAUUUUGACGGUACCUGGUGAAUAAGCCCCGGCUAACUACGCGCCAGCAGCCGC